UACGAAGGGGGCUAGCGUUGCUCGGAAUCACUGGGCGUAAAGCGCACGUAGGCGGAUUGUUAAGUCAGGGGUGAAAUCCUGGAGCUCAACUCCAGAACUGCCUUUGAUACUGGCGAUCUUGAGUCCGGGAGAGGUGAGUGGAACUGCGAGUGUAGAGGUGAAAUUCGUAGAGUAUUCGCAAGAACACCAGUGGCGAAGGCGGCUCACUGGCCCGGUACGUGAC
rnacentral:rRNA from 1 species